GCCGGGGUGGCGAAAUUGGCAGACGCGCCAGACUUAGGAUCUGGUUCCGCAAGGAGUAGGGGUUCGAGUCCCCUCCCCGGCAGCA
rnacentral:tRNA from 1 species